rnacentral:sRNA from 1 species
UUUUACAUAAUUACAGCAGAACUAAAACUGCUUAAGUGACGGAAUACUUUAAGAAACAUUUGGCGUCAUCAGAUGUGGCGAAAGCCUGCGGAGUAUAUUGGGUCAACAAAUUUAGCAUUUAACUGUUAGGAAUGACGCUCCUAGCAGUUUUU